rnacentral:lncRNA from 1 species
CCACGAGCGCGCAGCGCGAGUGGCUUUAGACCUAAUAAAACACGACCUGCGAGUUUUUUAAAUGGCUUCAAAAACGUUUGCAUAAUAAGUCAAAUCUUUAUAUAAAAAUAUUUAUAUAAAAAUCUUUAUAUAAAAAUCUUUAUAUAAAAAUCUUUAUAUAGUUUGCAUAACAAUGGUCUUUUGUUAAAGUGUUCUUUAGCUGGUAUAAAGACGUAUGCACGUGACUAAUUUCUUACUCAAGAUUGGAUAAUUGCUUCAUGAAUUAUUAAUGAGUUUUUGAAGUAGUCAUACAAAUUCCAAAUUCGACAAAAAUAUUGUCUCUUCUGGUUGAAAGGUUGGUAUAUAUUUGGGAGUGGGAAACAAGAGUUGCCUGCGGAGGAGGCUAAUCCGUAGCCACCAUUCAAAUUUCUUUGAUAUUUUCCUCUCUUUAUUCUCGGUUUUCUACUGGAAUUAAUGCACUUCCGUAAUCCGUAGCCACCAUUCAAAUUUCUUUGAUAAUUACCUUGAAAUGGGAUCAGAGAAAUGGAAUGUAAUUUCCUUGAAUUUAAACUUUAGAAACAUCUAAAAUACUAGAGUUUUCAAUUGUUCCAAAUUAGCCGUUCUCACGAUGACAAAUAUUCGCCAUUUUGGGUGGCAUCUAAUUCUCGUUAACCGAUUAAUGCAGACAAUCAGAGGCACACAAUUAAAACAAUGUGAACNNNNNNNNNNNNNNNNNNNNUGCAUAAUAAGUCAAAUCUUUAUAUAAAAAUUUUUAUAUAAAAAUCUUUAUAUAGUUUGCAUAACAAUGGUCUUUUGUUAAAGUGUUCUUUAGCUGGUAUAAAGACGUAUGCACGUGACUAAUUUCUUACUCAAGAUUAGAUAAUUGCUGCGUUUUUGAGCAAUUUAAAACAUUCGCAGUGCGUGUUUUAUCAGACCUAAAGUCGUAAAGUGAUACUCGGCUUCGCCUCGAAUCUUUAUAUCUGAUAAAACACUGCUGCUCAUGUUUUAAAAUCGAUAUUGGUACAUCAGUAUCGGCCAGAUUGUUGCAUGAAUUUGUAAUCGGUAAUUUCCGAUUGUGGAACAUGAUUAGAAUUUCGCCUUCAUGUGAGCUUUUAGUCACAACCAAACUCUGCUGCCGUGUUCGGUAACUAUUAAACUGGGUUCUUUUAGUUCUUCAGUUUAAACAUCAAAAAUUAGACAUCAAAACUGAUAGAACUAUCCAGUGUAAAUAAGAUAGGUUUUCGUCUGGUAAUAUCAUGUGACAAUAAUAAUGACCCUCAAUACUGGACCUCUAGUGAGAACAGUUUAGAAUUUGUACUACAUGGUCAUGGAGCUAUCCAAUAUACGAACUGUAUAAAUAAAUAAAAUGAGUCAAGUUUGCAUACAGGUCUCCUCAGAUCGCCAGGGAGAACAGUUUAGAACUCAUGUAGACUAUCCAGUAUUAAUAAAUUAUGUGUGGUUUAUGUUUCCUCCUGUAAUAACACUACUCACUACUCACUAGAGCAAUAUUGCGUAUAAAGCUAGGUAUGGCCUUAUUGAACUUCAGAAUUUCCAGGAAGAAUAGUUUAGAAUUGAUUGAGCCGUCCAAUGUAAAUGUGGUUCUUGUCCUCAUAAUCUCAAUGCUGAUUUGUACUUUUAAAUUGGGAGAUCGUAUAAAAAAUAUAGUUUUGCUAUUUCUACUAUUGCUAACUGUAGUUCAAAUGCCUCGCUAUUUUCGCUAUUGCAAUUGCGCUAACAGAGACUCCUGUUGCCGUCUCAAGCGUUUCAUUCGACUGAUUCGAGACUUACAUUCUCUAAUUAUAGCUCUUGAUUUUUCAUUGUUAAUACGGCUUCUUGAUAGCUUCCACUUUAGAUCAGGUGAUUCAAUAUUAUUUAAUUUAUUAUAAAUUGAAACGAUUUCUUCAGCCGUAAGCAGUCCAGAUGUAGCAACAUAUUUUGCGAAUCCGUCCUCACGCAUAGCAAGAAAUCUUAGAUCGUAUAUCGCAUCGCCAAUAACGAAUCUCCUGUUCUCCCUUGUUGUAUCUAAACCUUUCUGUGAACAUUGGUAGUCGAUCCAUUUUAAAACAGCUUUAAAAAGUUCAACUUCUUUAAUAGCCAAGCUGUCCCGCUUGAGCAAACAAGCUAAUGAUUUAUGGCUAAUCAAAUUGAAACAUUCCAAUACCACAAUGUCGUUAGUGUUCCAGUCUAUAAACUCCCAAGAUUUAAUUUCUAAAUGUUUCUCAUCAAAAUGAAUAGCUUGUUCUAAGAUAUACAACACGUUAUUGGGCUCCG